rnacentral:rRNA from 1 species
UACGAAGGGGGCUAGCGUUGUUCGGAAUCACUGGGCGUAAAGGGCGCGUAGGCGGCUUUGUAAGUCGGGGGUGAAAGCCUGUGGCUCAACCACAGAAUUGCCUUCGAUACUGUAGAGCUUGAGACCGGAAGAGGUAAGUGGAACUGCGAGUGUAGAGGUGAAAUUCGUAGAUAUUCGCAAGAACACCAGUGGCGAAGGCGGCUUACUGGUCCGGUUCUGACGCUGAGGCGCGAAAGCGUGGGGAGCAAACAGG